AUACGUAGGUGACAAGCGUUAUCCGGAUUUACUGGGCGUAAAGGGCGUGUAGGCGGUCUUGCAAGUCAGAAGUGAAAUUCCUGAGCUCAACUCGGGCGCUGCUUCUGAAACUGCAGGACUUGAGUGCUGGAGGGGAUAGCGGAAUUCCUAGUGGAGCGGUAAAAUGCGCAGAUAUUAGGAAGAACACCGGUGGCGAAGGCGGCUAUCUGGACAGUAACUGACGCUGGGGCGCGAAAGCGUGGGGAGCAAACAGGAUUAGAUCCCCUGGUAGUCCACGCCGUAAACGAUGAAUACUAGGUGUAGGGGGUAUCGACUCCCUCUGUGCCGCAGUUAACACAAUAAGUAUUCCGCCUGGGGAGUACGGCCGCAAGGUUGAAACUCAAAUGAAUUGACGGGG
rnacentral:rRNA from 1 species